rnacentral:rRNA from 1 species
UACGUAGGAGGCAAGCGUUGUCCGGAAUUACUGGGCGUAAAGCGCGUGUAGGUGGUGGGACAAGUCUGCUGUGAAAGCGCCUGGCUUAACCGGGCGAGGUCGGCGGAAACUGUCCGACUCGAGGACGGUAGAGGGGGGUGGAAUUCCCGGUGUAGUGGUGAAAUGCGUAGAGAUCGGGAGGAACACCUGUGGCGAAGGCGGCCCCCUGGGCCGGCCCUGACACUGAGACGCGAAGGCGUGGGGAGCGAACAGG